rnacentral:RNase_P_RNA from 1 species
GCCUUAUCGAUCCGCCUUUGGCGGAUAGGAAAGUCCGGACACCAUAGGGAAGCAUAGCGGCUAACGGCCGUCACUCUCUAUCGCCUCGGCGAAAGAGAGGAGGACAAGUGCAACAGAAAGUAUGUACAGGUAAUGCUGUAGUGAAACCAGGUAAACUCUAUGCGGUGAAAUGUCACGUAAACCUGUGCUUGAGGGUUCCCGCCCGAUGCAGGAGGGUGGACAGAUAGAACGUAUGGGUAACCAUGCGUCCAGAUAAAUGAUAAGGAUUCGCCU